GGAGACAGGUGGUGCAUGGUUGUCGUCAGCUCGUGUCGUGAGAUGUUGGUUAAGUCCCGCAACGAGCGCAACCCUUGUGUUUUAGUUGCAAACAGGUCAAGCUGUGCACUCUAGACAGACUGCCGUGGACAACACGGAGGAAGGUGGGGAUGACGUCAAAUCAUCAUGCCCCUUAUGAUCUGGGCUACACACGUGCUACAAUGGCCGGUACAACGGGCAGCGAAGGAGCGAUCCGGAGCGAAUCCUAAAAAGCCGGUCCCAGUUCGGAUUGCAGGCUGAAACUCGCCUACAUGAAGUUGGAGUUGCUAGUAAUCGCGAAUCAGAAUGUCGCGGUGAAUGCGUUCCCGGGUCUU
rnacentral:rRNA from 1 species